ACGGAUUCUAUCCCCUCGCUGGCACGCCUCUACUCUCUCUUCCUCCCUUGCCUUCCCCAUUCUCUCUCCCUCUAACUCUCAUACCUUGCCCUCCCUCAUGCUCUCUCUCUUUCCUAAGAAACGCAGAAAACUAUGCCAUACUCUCUCUCUUGCGUUACUAUUCUCUCACGCCUUGCCCUCCCUUUCUCUCAAGAUCUCUAUUAGGGAUGUAAUGGUAAUGAUGGAAGGCACCUUUUUUUUUUUGUUGAAGAUUGAAUGAAGGAUUACCUCUUUGAGAACCCAUUAUUUCAUUCAAGUUCAAAGCUACCCUCAAAAUCUGGAUUUUGAAUAUGGAGGUCUCCUGCAGUUGCUGGUUUGCUUAUUUUUCACAAGAUAAGGAGGCAUGAGUGGAAGAUCUGAUGCUACAAUGAGAGAUGGUCAUGAUAGGUAAUGAAGCCCCCAGUUAUUAAUGAGCAUUUUGGAUCUUUUCAAAAAGCAAAUUUUGUUUUUGAGCUGCUAUUUCUCUUGCAAUAGAACCCUAUAGAACCACUGACUUUUUCAUUAGUAACACAUUUUGAUGCAUUGUACCCACUCCAAUUAUUGACUUGUUUGUAAAACUUGGUGAGAAACAAUACAUAUGCAAAGUGCUCAAUAAAAUUCCUAAUAGAGCUCUAAUGGAGAAGUUACUUCUAUUAUAAAAAAUUUAAAAUAAAAAAUUUAUGUUGAUUAAUGGUAAUAAUAGAGCAGCUCUGUUUUGGCCCAUUUAUGCUUCUUACAAUGCUCAGUAGCAUAGUAAUAAUAGAGCAGCUUUGUUUUUGGCCCAUUUCUAUAUGACUAAUUGUGAAGGCUUAACAUAGUAAUAAUAGAGCAGCUCUAUUUUGGCCCAUUUAUGCUUCUUACAAUGCUCAAAAAUUUUGUGGCCUUGCAUUGUAUUUUUGCUUGUUCUCAAAAUUCCUCUUAUGUGUCGUUGUUACGCCCUCAAACAUGGAUUUUUUAUUUUUUUCGAAAGGAAAAAACUUGGACAUGCAUGUCAUUGUCAUUCUAAUGUGUUUUUUGGAUGAGGGGCUGUCUAAUUAUUAUUUUAUCUCUAAUGUGGUAUAUAUGAGUAGAUGAUUAGUGAUGUGUUAUUUGCUUGUUAUGGCUACUAGCUCUUUUGAUAUGUGGUUUACUGAUAUAUCUAUUACAUACGAGUUGCUUAAUUUACGUGGUUUACUUAAUUUAGGUUUGGUAGUAUUCAGGUUUUUAAUUUAUUUAGAGUUAUUUUUCCAUUUUUUUGUUGUUGUAGAGAUUUGAGGGGUAUAAAGGAUAUUUAUUUUAGAAUUUUAGGAGUUCUCCUAUCUUUUAGAUAGAGAGAAAAUAGAAAGGACUAUCUUAGAUGAUAUGUUUUAGUCUUUAUGAAGUCAGUCUUCUAGUUCGAAAUUCAAACUUUUGAUAAACAUGUAGUUAGAAAGGUAAUCAUUUUUAGGAAAGAAAGAAGUUUUAGAUGGAGAUAGAGAUUUGCAUGGGAGUUAGAGAGAAAAAGAUAAGAGAGUUUAUUUUUUGUAGGUUGUUUUAUUCAUUUACUUAUUUUCUUGUAAGUGUAUUUAAAUAGAAGAAGUCCUUUAUUGUAAAGGGAAAAAGAUUAUAAUUGAAUAAAAUUGAUCUUGUGAAAAAAUCUUUUUAGGUGGAUUCCCUUGCAAUAUUGAGAGAUAGUAUAUUCUCUUAACCCUUUUUUAUUUUUUAUUUCUAUUUUUCUGAUUUAUUCUUUCUCCUUGCAUCAAUGAAGCUACAAGGCUCAUCAAUUUUUAGUCGUACAAAUUUGGAUAGAAAUCAUUUUGACUUAACAUAGUUGAAUAUCGUUGAAAAGAAGAAAUUGUUGUGAACUUUAGAGAUGUUGGAAAUUGUUGUGACUUAUCUUUCUUUACUUUUUCCAUGUUAUUAUUUGUUUUGAUGAUGGCUGGAUUAUGUAAUUUGAAAUGCAAAUUGUCUUUUUAAAUCCUUAGCCCUUUAAGAUGUUAUCUUUCUUUUUAAAUUCUGGAAAACAGGAAGUUGGGGAUUGAUGCACAUUGAUUGUUGCUCAUCUUAAGCUUCACACAAAAGAGGAUGCCACAGUGCACAUGCAGUCAAAGUUGGGGAUGUAUGCACAUUGAUUGUUGGGGAUAGAUGCAUAUUGAUUGUUACUCAUCUUAGGGUGUCACCCUUUUGGAACAAACUAAAGAAGAAUGCAAAAGGUAUGUUAAAAGAUGUCCUCAACAUCAAGUCCAAGAAUACUAUGUAGUUUCAAGCAAUGGACUACAAUUCAGUGCCUAUGCAUAUGUAUUCAUAGAAGCACACCAUAAUUCUUCAAAAUAUGUAGGUUCUGAAUCUUCAACUUAAAUUUUUUUCCCCCAAUUAUCC
rnacentral:lncRNA from 1 species